GAGUUUGAUCGUGGCUCAGAUUGAACGCUGGCGGCAGGCCUAACACAUGCAAGUCGAGCGGUAACAGGAGAGCUUGCUCUCGCUGACGAGCGGCGGACGGGUGAGUAACGCGUAGGAAUCUACCCAGUAGCGGGGGAUAGCCCGGGGAAACUCGGAUUAAUACCGCAUACGCCCUAUGGGGGAAAGCAGGGGAUCUUCGGACCUUGCACUAUUGGAAGAGCCUGCGUUGGAUUAGCUAGUUGGUAGGGUAAAGGCCUACCAAGGCGACGAUCCAUAACUGGUCUGAGAGGAUGAUCAGUCACACCGGAACUGAGACACGGUCCGGACUCCUACGGGAGGCAGCAGUGGGGAAUAUUGGACAAUGGGGGCAACCCUGAUCCAGCCAUGCCGCGUGUGUGAAGAAGGCCUCGGUUGUAAG
rnacentral:rRNA from 1 species